UACGAAGGGUGCAAACGUUGCUCGGAAUCAUUGGGCGUAAAGCGCACGUAGGCGGCUUCGCAAGUCGGAUGUGAAAUCCCGUGGCUCAACCAUGGACGUGCAUCCGAAACUGCGAGGCUUGAGUAUGGAAGAGGGUCGCGGAAUUCCCGGUGUAGAGGUGAAAUUCGUAGAUAUCGGGAGGAACACCAGUGGCGAAGGCGGCUCACUGGCCCGGUACUGACGCUGAGGCGCGAAAGCUAGGGGAGCAAACGGG
rnacentral:rRNA from 1 species